rnacentral:rRNA from 1 species
CAGUAGCCACGGUAAUACGGAGGGAGCCAGCGUUAUUCGGAAUUACUGGGCGUAAAGCGCACGUAGGCGGCUUUGUAAGUUGGAGGUGAAAGCCUGGAGCUCAACUCCAGAAUUGCCUUUAAGACUGCAUCGCCUGAAUCCAGGAGAGGUGAGUGGAAUUCCGAGUGUAGAGGUGAAAUUCGUAGAUGUUCGGAAGAACACCAGUGGCGAAGGCGGCUCGCUGGACUGGUAUUGACGCUGAGGUGCGAAAGCGUGGGGAGCAAACAAGAUUAGAUACCCGAGUAGUCCCUGUCUCUUAUAC